rnacentral:rRNA from 1 species
AUACGGAGGGUGCAAGCGUUAAUCGGAAUUACUGGGCGUAAAGCGCGCGUAGGCGGCUUUGUAAGUCGGAUGUGAAAGCCCUGGGCUCAACCUGGGAAUUGCAUUCGAUACUGCAUGGCUAGAGUAUGAUAGAGGGUAGUGGAAUUCCUGGUGUAGCGGUGAAAUGCGUAGAUAUCAGGAGGAACAUCAGUGGCGAAGGCGGCUACCUGGACCAAUACUGACGCUGAGGUGCGAAAGCGUGGGGAGCAAACAGAAUUAGAUACCCGAGUAGUCC